rnacentral:lncRNA from 1 species
CCCGGACCGACUGUCCCACCCGCGACCCAUGCUGGCCCCAGGUUAACGCCUGCAACCCCGGAGGGCCACAAAUCAAAGGUGGAUAAACAUGAUGAGAUGGGAGCAAGCUUAAGGGUACCAGAUGGAUAAUCACAUAUUCAUACCAUGGGACAUGCCCCUCGGAUGCAUCCUCAAGAAGGGAGAAAAGUUUGAACCCCAAACCCUAAAAAGGAAAAGGCUAAUAUUUUUCUGUAACACAGCUUGGGUUGAAUAAAAUCUCCAGGACCAGUAAUGUUGGCCAGAAAACAGAAGCAUAAAUUUUAAUACAAUCCAUCAACUAGA